UACGUAGGGAGCAAGCGUUGUCCGGAAUCAUUGGGCGUAAAGCGCGCGUAGGUGGCUUCGUAAGUCCGUUGUGAAAGUCAAAGGCUCAACCUUUGAAUGCCGAUGGAUACUGCGGAGCUAGAGUACGGAAGAGGCGAGUGGAAUUCCUGGUGUAGCGGUGGAAUGCGCAGAUAUCAGGAGGAACACCAAUAGCGAAGGCAGCUCGCUGGGACGUUACUGACGCUGAGAAGCGAAAGCAUGGGGAGCGAACAGG
rnacentral:rRNA from 1 species